GUCACUCGACGUCGCGACACGGCGGUGGGGAGCAGAGACUAAAGAUUUUCUCGCUCCGGGGAUGACUACUUGGCCUCCGGUUUGUGCAGCCGGCGGAAACGGGGUGCUCUACGCUUGCUGCCGUCGUGAUCUGAUGGUGAUGAAUGGUGACACGUGGCAGAAAGUUGGGGAUUUACCUGCUGACGUGUGUAAUGUAUCAUACGUGGCGGUAAGGAGGUCCGGGAAGCUGGUCGUGAUCGGUUCGGCUCGGUACGGUGAACCAAGCGUAGUGUACAUUUGGGAUGCGAGUGAUUCUCGAUGGGAGAAACUGGAAACGUGUGAAAAAUAUGAAGGUCACGUUCAAGCUGGUUGUUUCUUGGAGAUAUAACAAGAGGAUGCAAGAUUGGUCGGUUGGUUUCUUUCAGUUCAUGGUGUGACUGUACAAAUAUUCUAUAGAUAUCCAAAAAGGUUCAUAAGCUUGAGUGUUAAUUUGUUGUUGAUUCAUUUUAUAUUUUUGUGCUUCGUUUUGUUAAUAACACAGACGAAUGUCCAAUUUUCAAAUCCAACAAAAAAUGAGACAUAACACAGAGUAACACGACAACGUUGAAUCGUUGAUACUUUUGUCCUUUGAAGCUUCAUCUUUUGUGGAUCAAAAGAAUAAAGUUGGGCAUUUGGGCUUAUUUGGGCCACAUUAAGUUAUUAUGCAAGUUUAUAAAUCUACCGUUAAUCAUUGUUGUGUGAUGUUACCGAAAUUAGCGGUAGAUGAAUUAUAUCCUACUACGACCUUUUUCAAUGCAGAUCGAGAAAAGACUGAUAGAGUGAUAGCUACACUCCGAAGGUACAGAAGCCACACAAGCGUAAGAUGGACAUAAAACCUUCUCACUAUCAUGUGACCUUUCAGACAAUAACGCUGAAGCUCACUCGCCUGUGUUCAAACUUUUUCCGAAUGAUCUUUUUGUUAAUGAGUCUGCUGUACUUACUGAAGCAUGUAUCCACUGUACUAGGUAUAAAGCACACAAAAGCACAAGAGCAAAGACAAACACGAAAGAAAAUAAACUUGAUUGUUGAAUAUCACAAGGUAGCUCUGAUAAAGAAAGUGUAGGGCUAGACAAACGCGAAAGAAAAGGAAAGACUGGUAGCUCUGGUGUAGAUGAUUUAGAGAAUUUUUAAGAGCAAGCCAACAUAUGAAAUCUCGUGUAGAGAGUUAUGGCAUCCAAUGUCUCCGUUGAUGAAUAUCACACUUGUACUUAGGCCAUUUUUAAGGCCGAUGGCAGUUACAAUUGUACUUUUCUGGAUAUCGUAUACGAUAGAACAACAUAUUUAAUAUUUUUAUAAUUAUAAAUAGUUUUAUAUAGAGAACUGAUUAUCAAAAAAUCAUGGGUUCAAACUUCAAACACACACAAAAGUGGACCUAAUAAUAAUAUCUAAAAGAGGUUGGACUCUUCGUCUUUAUCUUUAAGUUUAGCUUUUUAUGAUUAGAUGGCUGUGUAUGUCUGCUAAACAAGGGACUAUAUAUGUUAAAUGGUCCCAAACACCACUCGUUUUUACAAUUUCUAGACUUCAAACUGAUAAAUUAGUAAGAGUCUGUCUGGGACGACCGAUCUCCAAACUUGGUUGUUUACUUGUUUAUGUGUUGUGUUGUACUGUAUUUUCAUGAACCAGAAGAAUUUAUAAUAUCUAAGAGAAUGUCACCAAAGCCCAACCAUUUGGGUUGAAGCCUAAAAGUAGUCAGAUAGAGGCCCACAUAAAACGGUAUCUAAGUGAAAGUGUAAAACAAAACAAUUAAAAUGGUUGGCGGGCAUUUCUGCAAAAUGCUAACGAAUCUCGAAUAUUCCAAAUAUUAUCUGUCACUUCCCUUUCUUUGAUAAACAACGAAACAAAAGAAAAGAGGGACACAGAUUGGAGAGGUUACGUCAGAAAACAAGCUGUUACUGAUCCAAUUCUUAAUAGACAACUGUGUUUAAGCGUUACUUUAAUUUUUUUAAUGAACCCAAAUCAGAGUUAUUUGUUAAAUAAUUGUGAUUCUGUCAAGACGAGUGAGAAAACAAGUUACCGGGACUUGUGUCGGUGAGACUGAAUCAGAGGAAGUGUUUAAAGAGAGUUAUGGAACGUUGGAUCAGAGGGACCCAUACACCCCCCCACCAAUCCAAGAGUCGCGAUCUAUUUGAGGUGGUCAUGGACCCCAACUUACCCGCAGGAAUAUUAUGGGGACCGCUCCUUAACUCUUGCAAGGUCACUUGGUUUGGUGUACAAUCCCUCCCUUCCCUCUUCUGUAUAAGGCGAUAACAUACAAAUUAUUAUUUUAAUACAUGAUUUCCCCAAGAUUUGCUAUCUCCCAUUACGAAUUAAACAAUUUUUUUUUUUUAAAUCUAGAUAUUAUACUUUAGAUACCAAUAAGUAUCUGACACGAUUCAAUGGAUAAAAGAAUAAAUUAAAGGACCACAGGUUCUUAAAAAUAUAAUUCACGGCAAUAAAUAAAAACAAUUCAACACUUUACCUCUAAAGUCUAAACAAAUGACCCAUCCGGCAUCCGUCAUCCGUCACUCAUUUUAAUGGAAUAAUAAAAUACAUUUCUAUGGAAAAGCACUUCAUCUGUAUCAAUUUCUUUUAAUAAGAUAGGCUGAUGGAGUUUUCCACGAUUUAUAAUAAGAUAGACUGAUGAUACGUAUCACCAUUCCAUGGUAUUGUGACUAUUGUCAAUGUAAACAUAGAGAUGUCACCUAAAUCCUUGGCCUCCGGUCUGUGCAGCCGGCGGAAACGGAGUGCUUUACGCUUGCUGCCGUCGUGAUCUGAUGGUGAUGAAUGGUGACACGUGGCAGAAAGUUGGGGAUUUACCUGCUGACGUGUGUAAUGUAUCAUACGUGGCGGUAAGGAGGUCCGGGAAGCUGGUCGUGAUCGGUUCGGCUCGGUACGGUGAACCAAGCGUAGUGUACAUUUGGGAUGCGAGUGAUUCUCGAUGGGAGAAACUGGAAACGUGUGAAAAAUAUGAAGGUCACGUUCAAGCUGGUUGUUUCUUGGAGAUAUAACAAGAGGAUGCAAGAUUGGUCGGUUGGUUUCUUUCAGUUCAUGGUGUGACUGUACAAAUAUUCUAUAGAUAUCCAAAAAGGUUCAUAAGCUUGAGUGUUAAUUUGUUGUUGAUUCAUUUUAUAUUUUUGUGCUUCGUUUUGUUAAUAACACAGACGAAUGUCCAAUUUUCAAAUCCAACAAAAAAUGAGACAUAACACAGAGUAACACGACAACGUUGAAUCGUUGAUACUUUUGUCCUUUGAAGCUUCAUCUUUUGUGGAUCAAAAGAAUAAAGUUGGGCAUUUGGGCUUAUUUGGGCCACAUUAAGUUAUUAUGCAAGUUUAUAAAUCUACCGUUAAUCAUUGUUGUGUGAUGUUACCGAAAUUAGCGGUAGAUGAAUUAUAUCCUACUACGACCUUUUUCAAUGCAGAUCGAGAAAAGACUGAUAGAGUGAUAGCUACACUCCGAAGGUACAGAAGCCACACAAGCGUAAGAUGGACAUAAAACCUUCUCACUAUCAUGUGACCUUUCAGACAAUAACGCUGAAGCUCACUCGCCUGUGUUCAAACUUUUUCCGAAUGAUCUUUUUGUUAAUGAGUCUGCUGUACUUACUGAAGCAUGUAUCCACUGUACUAGGUAUAAAGCACACAAAAGCACAAGAGCAAAGACAAACACGAAAGAAAAUAAACUUGAUUGUUGAAUAUCACAAGGUAGCUCUGAUAAAGAAAGUGUAGGGCUAGACAAACGCGAAAGAAAAGGAAAGACUGGUAGCUCUGGUGUAGAUGAUUUAGAGAAUUUUUAAGAGCAAGCCAACAUAUGAAAUCUCGUGUAGAGAGUUAUGGCAUCCAAUGUCUCCGUUGAUGAAUAUCACACUUGUACUUAGGCCAUUUUUAAGGCCGAUGGCAGUUACAAUUGUACUUUUCUGGAUAUCGUAUACGAUAGAACAACAUAUUUAAUAUUUUUAUAAUUAUAAAUAGUUUUAUAUAGAG
rnacentral:lncRNA from 1 species